rnacentral:rRNA from 1 species
UCCACGCCGUAAACGAUGGAUACUAGCUGUCAGGACUUCGGUCUUGGCGGCCAAGCGAAAGUGAUAAGUAUCCCACCUGGGGAGUACGUUCGCAAGAAUGAAACUCAAAGGAAUUGACGGGGGCCCGCACAAGCGGUGGAGCAUGUGGUUUAAUUCGAUGAUACGCGAGGAACCUUACCAGGGCUUAAAUGUAGAUUGCAUUAGGCAGAGAUGCUUAUUUCUUCGGACUAUCUACAAGGUGCUGCAUGGUUGUCGUCAGCUCGUGCCGUGAGGUGUCAGGUUAAGUCCUAUAACG